AUGCAUUGAUGUUCUGUUGUAAAGGAAUCUUAACCACUGAUUCCUAAGUGCAUCCACUUUCGGAAGACCAAAUAAAGUGCUUUUGCUUCUGCAUAGAAACACACAGCAUCUCCACUGCAUGGCAGCAACAACACU